rnacentral:tRNA from 1 species
GGAGAGGUGUCCGAGCGGCUGAAGGAGCUAGUCUCGAAAACUAGUAUGGCCUCCGGGUCAUCGGGAGUUCGAAUCUCCCCCUCUCCG